rnacentral:rRNA from 1 species
GACGAACGCUGGCGGCGUGCUUAACACAUGCAAGUCGAACGGAAAGGCCCUGCUUUUGUGGGAUGCUCGAGUGGCGAACGGGUGAGUAACACGUGAGUAACCUGCCCUUGACUUUGGGAUAACUUCAGGAAACUGGGGCUAAUACCGGAUAGGAGCUCCUGCUGCAUGGUGGGGGUUGGAAAGUUUCGGCGGUUGGGGAUGGACUCGCGGCUUAUCAGCUUGUUGGUGGGGUAGUGGCUUACCAAGGCUUUGACGGGUAGCCGGCCUGAGAGGGUGACCGGCCACAUUGGGACUGAGAUACGGCCCAGACUCCUACGGGAGGCAGCAGUGGGGAAUAUUGCACAAUGGGCGGAAGCCUGAUGCAGCAACGCCGCGUGUGGGAUGACGGCCUUCGGGUUGUAAACCGCUUUCGCCUGUGACGAAGCGUGAGUGACGGUAAUGGGUAAAGAAGCACCGGCUAACUACGUG